AGUAAAAUAAUCUAAUUUAAGAUGAUAAACUGUAAAUUUAUUUAUGAGGUAAACUCUUUUACUA
rnacentral:tRNA from 1 species